GCCCUUGUAGUGUAAUUGGAAGCAUACUCGAUUCGUAUUCGAGAGGUCCUGGGUUCGAUUCUCAGCGAGGGCA
rnacentral:tRNA from 1 species